rnacentral:rRNA from 1 species
CGGACGGGUGAGUAACGCGUGGAAAACCUGCCGUAUACUGGGGGAGUAACACUUAGAAAUAGGUGCUAAUACCGCAUAAGCGCACAGCUUCGCAUGAAGCGGUGUGAAAACUCUGGUGGUAUACGAUGGUUCCGCGUCUGAUUAGCUAGUUGGUGGGGUAAUGGCCUACCAAGGCAACGAUCAGUAGCCGGCCUGAGAGGGUGAACGGCCACAUUGGGACUGAGACACGGCCCAAACUCCUACGGGAGGCAGCAG